rnacentral:rRNA from 1 species
UCGUUACUACCGAUUGAAUGACUUAGUGAGGACUCGAGAUCGGGAUUCAGGCCGGCAACGGAACUGGAUUCUAAGAACUUGUUCAAACUUGGUCAUUUAGAGGAAGUAC